AUUGAACGCUGGCGGCAGGCCUAACACUUGCAAGUCGAACGCGUGGCGGACGGGUGAGUAAUGUCUGGGAAACUGCCUGAGGGAGUGGGAUAACUACUGGAAACGGUACCUAAUCCCGCUUACCUUCAGAUUGUCCCAGUUGGGAUUAGCUUGUUGUUGGGGUAAUGGCUCAUCAAUGCGACGAUCCCUAGCGGGUCUGAGAGGAUGACCAGCCACACGGGAACUGGGACACGGUCCAGACUCCUACGGGAGGCAGCAGUGGGGAAUAUUGCAAAAUGGGGGCAAGCCUGAUGCAGCCAUGCCGCGUGUAUGAAGAAGGCCUUCGGGUUGUAAAGUACUUUCAGCGGGGAGGCGUUACCCGCAGAAGAAGCACCGGCUAACUCCGUGCCAGCAGCCGCGGUAAUUC
rnacentral:rRNA from 1 species